rnacentral:lncRNA from 1 species
AGGGUAACGCACGUCAAGAUGGAUGAGAGGGCUUUACCAAAGGGAGACUUUUUUUCCUCCUGAAUGCCCACAGCAGCUUCCCCAUGGACUUGGUGGUAUCGGUAUGGGGUUAGGACCUGGAGGGCAGCCUAUUGAUGCCAACCACCUGAACAAAGGCAAUGGAAUGGGAAACCUAGGACCUGCAGGAAUGGGAAUGGAAGGCAUAGGAUUUGGAAUAAAUAAAAUUGGAGGUAUGGAAGGACCCUUUGGUGGUGGUAUGGAAAACAUGGGGGCGAUUUGGAUCCGGGAUGAACAUGGGCCGGAUAAAUGAAAUUCUAAGUAAUGCAAUGAAGAGAGGAGAGAUCAUUGCAAAAAAAGGAGGAGGUGGAGCUGGAGGCAGUGUCCCUGGGGUCGAAAGGAUGGGCCCUGGCAUUUGACCGCAUUAGCGGUGCUGGCAUGGAGCACGUGGGCGAAGGCUUAAGCCAUGGCAUGGAUCGAGUGGGCUCCGGC